rnacentral:rRNA from 1 species
CGAAAGCCUGACGGAGCAACGCCGCGUGAGGGAUGAAGGCCUCUGGGCUGUAAACCUCUUUUCUCAAGGAAGAAGAUCUGACGGUACUUGAGGAAUAAGCCACGGCUAAUUCCGUGCCAGCAGCCGCGGUAAUACGGGAGUGGCAAGCGUUAUCCGGAAUUAUUGGGCGUAAAGCGUACGCAGCGGCCUUGUAAGUCUGCCGUUAAAGCGUGGAGCUCAACUCCAUUUCAGCGGUGGAAACUACAAGGCUUGAGUGUGGUAGGGCAGAGGGAAUUCCCGGUGUAGCGGUGAAAUGCGUAGAUAUCGGGAAGAACACCAGUGGCGAAAGCGCUCUGCUGGGCCAUAACUGACGCUCAUGGACGAAAGCCAGGGGAGCG